GAUGAAUCGUAGUCAAAGUGUGCAAAGUUUUAUUUGAAAUCGGAGUAAAAAUUGUCCGGCUUUCAAUGUCGUUUGUACAAACAGGUUUUUUCUUUUCCGAACACGGCGUCCUGAGAAUACUGUCUUCGAUUUCGUUGUUGCCAGUGGGCCACCAAACAUGAUUCGGUUGUACGUAAGUUACGGGGUUGGACGAGGCCGGGCGGCGAAUUCACAGACCAUAAGGGGAGUUCGGAUCU